AGUUUUUAAGAAUCAUGGAGGGUGCAAGAGUGCCAUUGGGGAAGGAAUUUCUGUGGAUGGGCACUAGGCAGCACAGACUGGCAGAGGUCACAGAGGAAUGAAGAUCACAGGAGGACUGACUUGAGAUCCUGGAGGCUGAAUAAAGCCAAUGUAAACCUAAAUCCAAUUUAAGCUAAUGGAAGACUAUGAAGCAGAAUCAUUUCAUAGAACCACAAUUUGGUGAAAAUCUUAUCUCUGGAUGUUCAUGCAGAUAUCGCUUGUAAGAACUAGAGGAAAUGAAUUCACCGUCUCCAAUCAUGGAAGAAGAUUGGUGUCGUGAACUACAUUCCACAACAGAAGAAGAAACAGCUUGUUUGAGACAGCAUCAACUCUGCUGGACCAGAUAAUCUUUUCUUAAUUGCAAAAGUGAGGGAAGAGAAACUGAGGUGGACAGAGUGAAAAGUAAUUUGAUUCAAAACAUUUUCUUAAUUUUCCCCCCCCCCAACAGUUGGUGAUGAAAAAUAUUAUUUUUGAAUGUGGAUAUAUUAGUUUUCAUUGGCAGAAGAUAUUCACAAUUUUGCAAUGUUAAUUUUUGACAACUUCU